rnacentral:lncRNA from 1 species
UUUUAUAUUUUAGAUUAAGCUUUGCAUUUAAAAAGCAGCGCCUGCGUUUAGAUAUUUAACUAUUUCAUUGUUCACUUUAAUGUUUCAGGUUACUAUGUUACUUGUUCUGUUUGAUUGUAUUAAUUUAGUUGUCAUGUUAGCUUAAAUUAUUUCGGGUUGGUUGUUAAUAAAGUUACUUUGCUUCCCUGAGACUUUUGAACUUUAAUUACCAUUCUGCUCAAUAUUUAAUCUGUUGUCUGCCUGAGAUUAGGUAUACGCUUAGUUGCCUAAUCGGUGUCAAUUCUUCGCUUAGUUGCUUAGACUAAACGGUGGAUGACUGAUUAAAUUUGUGCAUUGCAUUCGCUUAGUUUGCAAUUCUGAAAACCGAAUUAGCCUUCGUUUAGUUGGGUGAUUCGUGUUGGAUUUGGAUUAGAGUAGUGUGUACUUGUCAUUAAUCUGUGAUUGGAAGCAUAGUAAUUGAGUUAAUGACCAACUGUUUUCAUUCUGUAUUUGAUUUCCAUUUUUACAUUUUUGUUUCUGUGCCUGUUUACAUUUGUGUUUACAUUUCUGUUUGCAUCUGUAUUUUAAUUUUAUUCAUCUGCAUUCACAAAACUUUCUCAAAACCCCCCCACUUUAUGUCUGACCUAAUUUUCGAACCACAUUUGGUCCUUGAGAGAAGACCUAGGAGUCACUUCCUAGUACUAUACUGCAUUCUUUAUGCACAUUAAAUUUGCAUGGGGUGCGACACCCAUCAAAUUUUGGCGCCGUUGUCGAGGACCAACGGUUCGGUUUUAGGUCUUUAUGUGUUCGUAUGUGUUGUGUUUUGUCUCGUGUUGUGAGUGUGAUGUUCCGUUUUGUGUGUUCGUUUUUGUAUGUGUGUUAUCAUGUGUAUUGCAUUUAGGUAACUUUAGUCGCAUAUUUUCAUUGCAUUCUUCUUUUUCCCCCUUUCUUCUACAUGUCUACCUAUUCUGGUUAUGUGCAUAUUGUUUCUUUUGCCUGUGCCUCUGGUUAUGGUUCUCCAGCUUAUUUCUAUGUUGACAACAAUAUGAUUCCUCCUCCAUCUCAUGAGAGUGCUCCUAGGGAGCCAUUUCCAC